rnacentral:rRNA from 1 species
AUUGAACGCUAGCGGGAUGCCUUACACAUGCAAGUCGAACGGAGUGGCGAACGGGUGAGUAAUGUAUCGGAACGUGCCCAGUAGCGGGGGAUAACUACGCGAAAGCGUAGCUAAUACCGCAUACUAUUGGAGCGGCUGAUAUCGGAUUUGCUAGUUGGUGGGGUAACGGCUCACCAAGGCGACGAUCCGUAGCUGGUUCGAGAGGACGACCAGCAACACUGGGACUGAGACACGGCCCAGACUCCGACGGGAGGCAGCAGUGGGGAAAUUUGGACAAUGGAGGAAACCCUGAUCCAGCCAUACCGCGUGAGAGAUGAAGGCCUUCGGGUUGUAAAAAACUUUUGGCAGGAAAGCGGUACCUACAGAAUAAGCACCGGCUAACUACGUGCCAGUAGCCGCGGUAAUUC